rfam:Pediococcus argentinicus strain DSM 23026 Scaffold36, whole genome shotgun sequence.
AGGGUGUUACGAUGAUGGAGAAAUCCGAGUCUAGCCCACGGUGAGUCGUUUAUUCGACUGACU